rnacentral:rRNA from 1 species
UACGUAGGGGGCUAGCGUUGUCCGGAAUCAUUGGGCGUAAAGCGCGCGUAGGCGGCCCGGUAAGUCCGCUGUGAAAGUCAAAGGCUCAACCUUUGAAUGUCAGCGGAUACUGCCGGGCUAGAGUCCGGAAGAGGCGAGUGGAACUCCUGGUGUAGCGGUGGAAUGCGCAGAUAUCAGGAAGAACACCAAUAGCGAAGGCAGCUCGCUGGGACGUUACUGACACUGAGGCGCGAAAGCGUGGGGAGCAAACAGG